GACGUAGGGCGCGAGCGUUGUCCGGAUUUAUUGGGCGUAAAGAGCUCGUAGGCGGUCUGUCGCGUCUGCUGUGAAAACCUGGGGCUUAACCCCGGGCCUGCAGUGGGUACGGGCAGACUAGAGUGUGGUAGGGGAGACUGGAAUUCCUGGUGUAGCGGUGAAAUGCGCAGAUAUCAGGAGGAACACCGGUGGCGAAGGCGGGUCUCUGGGCCAUAACUGACGCUGAGGAGCGAAAGCGUGGGGAGCGAACAGG
rnacentral:rRNA from 1 species